GACGAACGCUGGCGGCAUGCCUAACACAUGCAAGUCGAGCGAGCGGCGGGCGGUUGCGUACUGUAUGGGGAUCUGCCCGUUAGCGUCGGAUAACUACUGGAAACGGUUGCUAAUACCGCGUACUGUCGUAUGACCCCAUAUGGGGUUAGCUAGUAGUUAGGGUAAUGGCUUACCUAGGCGACGCUCCCUAGCUGGUCUGAGAGGAGGAUCAGCCACACUGGGACUGAGACACGGCCCAGACUCCUACGGGAGGCAGCAGUGGGGAAUAUUGGACAAUGGGCGAAAGCCUGAUGCAGCCAUGCCGCGUGUAUGAAGAAGGCCCUAGGGUUGUAAAGUAUUUUCAGUCGGGAGGCGGUACCGACAGAAGAAGCACCGGCUAACUACGUGCCAGCAGCCGCGGUAAUUC
rnacentral:rRNA from 1 species